rnacentral:misc_RNA from 1 species
GGACCAAAACCAAGGAAUCUGAUUCAAAAAGUGAGUUUGAUUGAUUAUAUGCUGGUGUAUGGUUUGGAAGAUGGCCAGUUUAUUUUGCAGGAAAUUCCAGUUUAUUCUCUGCAUUUUAUAAGGAAAUCAUUGCUCAUCCAGUUAGUGUACUAGAGCCUCUGAUUCUUUUGAAUGGGGCUCUUUGGCUCCUUUUCUUAAGGAUGUAAUCAAGUUGAUUUGCUUUUCUAAUAAAAAUCUUGUCUUCUUAUUUUAU